rnacentral:rRNA from 1 species
AAGAUCAAUAAUCUAAACUUUAAAUUUUUAUAAUUUAAAGUCAUGUGAUUUUCUAAACUCAUUGAAAUUUUUAUAAAUUAUGAUUGAAUUCAUAACUAUAAAGAGUUAUAGUCUCGUUAUUUAAAAUUUCAAGCAUGGGAAUUAGAAUUAAAGAGUCGGGUAGCUUGAGAAUGCUGCCUUAAUAUAGGUGGUACACCCCAUCUAAAGCUAAAUAUUGUAAAGAGACCGAUAGCAUACAAGUAGUGUGAACGAAAGAUGAAAAGAACUCCUAAACGGAGAAUUAAAAGCGCCUGAACUUGUCUAGGUUUUCGCAUUUCUUUAAUGCGCCCGUCUUGAAACACGGAUUAGGGAGUUUUACUUAAAUACGAGUCUUUAACUUUUAAAGUAAUUUUUUUAAAAAAGGCGAAAAGAAAUUAACUGGUUUUUUUAACAUGGCUAUAGAGUAUUUAAGUCAAAACCCGAAUGGAGGUGAACUAUUCCUGCAAAGAUUGAAGUCAGGGGAAACUCUGAUGGAAGAUCGUUGGCGUUAUUGAUGUGCAAAUCAUUUGCUUUAUGUAGGUAUAGGUGCGAAAGACUCAUCGAACCUCCUAAUAGCUGGUUUCCUCCGAAGUUUCCCUCAGGAUAGCUGUAACAUUUUUAAAUAGUUAAGGAUAGUAGAGAAAUGGGUAGAGGUGUAGUGGAACUACGGUUCUGCAACUUAUUUCCAAACUUCGAACGUUCUUGAUAUAAAAAAUUACCUAAUAGGAAUUUUUUAUUUAAAUAUAUGUUAUAAGUGGGCUCUGACCGGUAAGCGGUCAUGGCGAAAAGGGAUGAACCUAACGUAUAAAUAAGGUGCCUAAAUUUACUAACAAUGAAACCAUUAAAAGAGUCCAUGUAUUUAGACAGCGGGUCGGUGCCCCUAAAAGCAGGUAUCCGUUAAUGAGUGUGUUAAAACUCCCCCGCCGAAUACUCUGGCCUUGAAAAUGAAUGGCGCAUAUAGUAAUACCGAUAUUAUACAUUAAAAUUAUUUAAAAAUUUUAAAAGUAGGGGGAUGUGGAUAUCUUAGAGAAUUUUUAAUUGUAAAAUUGAAUUGAAAGAUAUCUAUUACAGAUCCUAAUUGAAGUAGCGAUUAUCCAGGUUAAUCUCCUGGGGGCUGAUGAGGAGUAGGGUUUCUGGGCAACUUAAACGGACCCAGAGUUAGUCGAUCCUAAUCAAAUUAAAUUUAGAGAAAGGGAAUAUGAAUGAUAUUUCAUAACUAAAAUUAAUUUUUAAAUGGUGACAUUUUUUUAAACUUAUUUCCAUCAAUUAAAUACUGUUUAAUAGGGAUUUCUUUCCUAUAUAACUUUUUAAUUAAAACUUAAGAAACAGGUUAACUGGAGAAUAAAGUUUUAAUUUAGUAAAAUUAUAAUUUCGAUUAUAAUAACGGCUAUUUAAAUGAUCCAUGAAACAAUAAGUUUAUUUUUUCAAAAAUUAAUUUAAUCGUACCGAUAACCGCAUCAGGUCUCCAAGGUGAGUAGCUUCUGGCCAUUGAGUAAUGGUAAUUUAGGGAAUUCGGCCAAUUAGAGCUGUAACUUCGGGAUAAAGCUUGGCUCUGAUGGAAAUCAGAACCGAUAGUUACAAGGAGAGCCCAACUGUUUAAUAAAAACUUAGUGUCGCGUCAUACCUUUAUAAGUAAUAAACGUGACAUGAAUCCUGCUCAGUGCUGUGUUUGUUAAACUGGAUUAAUCCAUUUAAGCGCCGGUAAAUAGCUGGGGUAACUAUGACUCUUAUCAAAGUAGCGAAAUACCUCGUCACUUAAUUAGUGACCUGCAUGAACGGAGCUAUGAGGUUCUCACUGUCCCAAAUUAUCACUCAGCGAACCAACAGUUGUGGGAACGGGCACAAAUUAUCCAGCGGGGAAAGAAGACCCUGUAGAGCUUCACUUUGGUCUAAUCUUGUAUAGUUUCGUUAGGGGUGCAGUCUAGGUGGGAGAUUUUUAAUCAAAUAUGAGAAACCACUACCCUUU